rnacentral:rRNA from 1 species
UACGUAGGGCGCAAGCGUUUGUCCGGAAUUAUUGGGCGUAAAGCGCACGUAGGCGGCUUUGCAAGUUAGAGGUGAAAGCCCGGGGCUCAACUCCGGAAUUGCCUUUAAAACUGCAUCGCUAGAAUUGUGGAGAGGUAAGUGGAAUUCCGAGUGUAGAGGUGAAAUUCGUAGAUAUUCGGAAGAACACCAGUGGCGAAGGCGACUUACUGGACACAUAUUGACGCUGAGGUGCGAAAAGCGUGGGGAGCAAACAGG